rnacentral:lncRNA from 1 species
UACCCAAAUAAAAUAACAUUUAACCAUAAAUCCUCCCUUUAAAUAGGGUUACAUUAUUAAAUAAAAUCUUCUCAGGUUGUCUAACCUUUAAACAUCAUUCAAGUGCAGAAAUAAAAUUAUUACAUCACAUCAUUAUUUAAAAGUACUCUAUGACCAUCACAAUAAAUAAAAAUUACAAGUCCGCAUCACUUGUACAUUUUCCCCUUUCCUUUCCUAGUUGAAGGCUCAUCUACCUUCUCAACUUUAGCUGCAAUGAGUGUAUAAAUAUGCAAGAGUGAGCAAAACAAAUGCUCACUAGAUAUAUCAAUGAGUCAACAAGAAUAUAAUAGCUACCAAUAAAUAAGUUCAUCAAAACUGAAUAGUACUCUAUCAAUGAUAACCAAAGACUGGAAUCAAAAUAUGGAAUAUAAAUAUCUGAGGGUCAUAAGACCACGAACUAUGUCCACAGUUGCGAGUAAUCUUUCAACUCCAACUUUAACAUUCAUAAGACUAUAAAGACUCCUCGUACUUAGGGGGAUCAACCCUUUGUACAAUAUAUUGUGCACAAACAUUUCAACGCUAAGCGUAAAUUAUCCCCUAAUAAUAGGGUUGUUCAUCUCAGUAUUUAGAGUACAAGUCCGCACCAAAGAAAGUUUGGUUUGGAUAAGCUUUCAGGGGUAAUUUGAAGUUUAAUGAUCAUCAACUAGAGGACUAGUUGAAUCAAUAGUGUUUGAUAACACAACAGUUGAUCAAUAAUAACAUAAUAUGGAACAAUGAAUAAGUGUAAGCGAACUAACUAUAUUUCGAACUCAUGCUUAGAAACAACUACAAUGCAUAAGUAUUGAAUGACAAUAAACCUUGCUUGAACAAUAUUAAGCUAGGACUAUAAAUUAUUGAAUAUACAUUAAGUAAUAGCAAACUGAAAAAUAAAGCUUGCUCAAUAUGAGAAUAACUUGUGUCAAACAAAUGAAAUAAGAUAAUUCAACAUUAGAAUUAGAAUUCAAGAAAAUUUCAUUCGUAAUACACGAAUGACAAUAAUGAAACUUGUCUAACAAUAAACAAGUUAGAAUACAUCAAUAAAUAUUGGAAUUCAAAACUUGUUCGAAUAAAGUUAAAGUCAUAGCUAGCUUGCUCAAAUAAUGAUUAGGAAUACAAGAGUUCGCUUAAUGAAAGUUUAAAGUAAGAAACUUGCUCAAUGUAAAAAGAUAAGGUUUAGAAACUUGCUCAAUGUAAAAAGAUAAGGUUUAGAAACUUGCCUCGAGCGUAAGCUAUAAUAUUAAACUCACGUUCACCUACACAUAGGUUUAGAACCACAAUACCUAUUAGAUAUGCUAACAUUCACUUACCAUAUGCAUUUCUAGUUAGACUUAUUAUACUAGCACGAGUCUUAUGCUAUCAUACACAUUUCAGAAUUUUCAAGUGUUAACAUCACAACACCUAUCUAACAUUCAUUAUAUAAACUAAGUUAUAACACAACACGUUCAUAGUUUAUAAUCAUUUGAAACUUUGAAAUUACUAACCACCUAACAUGAUUCUGUUUUGACCAUAUUAUUACAUGUUUAACACCUUAACAUAACCUUAGACCAAGCUAUAGGGGUGCUACAAGGUCUGCAAUAACAGCAGAACAAAUUGUCUCAAGACAGGGUAUGGCACAGCUGCGCUAUACACAGGCCUGGGAUCAGCGCAGCUGCGUAGUUUUUUUGCCUUGGCACCAACGCAGCUGCGCUGGUGCACAGACAAAGGUAGAGACGACUAUGAACAGUAGCCGACUUUAGCCCAACAAACACAAAUUUCACCCACUAGACAAUAAUAUAUAUCAACAUGUACAACUGAUAUAGAACCACCACAAACGCAUUUGCUAACAUAUUCAACCAAUUAAAACAAUUUAACAUCAACUAAAACUAGUUUAAUUUCUCAAAUUCCAUAUUUUCACAAAAAAACAUCAUUUUUGAGUUCCUGACACAAAAAUCAAUAUUGUAAUCUCUAUACUUGGCCAAAUUGCUUCGUUCAAAUUACGUUAUGCCCGUUUCUUAAUGAACUAACAUAUACAAGACUCAAUUUACAGUUUAACAUACGAAUUGACCAUCAAAAUUGAUGCUUACACAAGCCAUAUGAGAAAUACAAACACUGUCAUUAUUUUUCCUACUGUUAAACGAAAUUAGCAUGCAAUUUCCUUAUUUAAACAUAAACUUUAGCAUCAUAAACACAUAUACUCACAAUUAUCAGUUAUUUAUAUCAACAAUUCAUCAAUUUGAUUUCACAGAACAUAAACAAAACUAUGCCGUGAUACACAUAAACAUAUAUAUAUACACACACACACACAAUACUAAGGUUAUGCAAAAAUACCUUUAAUUUACUUGUAAUCUUUGCUAUCACCACUACUAUGAAAUCCUCAGGUUUCCUCUCAACUCUCUCUCAAUUCUCUCUGAAUGUUCUUCUCUUUUUUCUCAGCAACUAGAAUGCGUAAAAAAAACUGAUAGUUAUAAUGCGUAAAACUGCUAAUCCUUAAUACGCCAAACUUAAUAAAAUAUCAGUUACAAAACCAACGUAUAUAUUAUAAAUAUAUUAUAUUUAUUAUUUUAAUUUAUUUUAUUUUAAUUCAAAUAUUAAAAUCCAAAAGCCAUAAGGCUUUGUUUGGCAAAACCCUUUAAAUUUUAAAGACUUAAUAUAUUUAAGCCUUGUUUGGCAAAACUAAAUUAAACUCUCUUAAUUUAUUUUAAUAAACCAUUUAGUUUAUAAUUUAUAAUUACAUCUUAUUUAUUUGGAUUUUCAUAUCCAACAUUAACCAAUUAAAUUAAUCACAUACAAUAUUUUAAUUAAAUAUACCAUUUUAGCAAAUAUCACAAAAUUAUAAUUUUCAUUAUAACUUUAUUUAAUAAUUUAAUUUACCCUUUUAAAUUAUUAAUUAACAAUAUAACACUUCAUAUCAUAUUACAACUCUCUAAAUUAUAAAUUAAUUUAAUUUAGAAUAUUAUCUAAUAAAUUUAGAUUCAUAAAUAUUUAUUAACAACUAUCACAUCAAUAAAUAUUUAUCCCACAAUAAACACCUCAAAUAAAUAUUUAUAUAAUCCAAUAAAUAUUUAAAAUUACAAUUUGAAAUUCCGGAUUGUUACAAUUGUACACGAAUGACUUGGAUUUAUCUGUUGAAACAUAAAAAUGAUAUUUUUCAUGUAUUUCAAUCAUUUCAUAAAAUGAUUCAGACUUAGUUCUCUACUAAAAUAUGAACUCUUCACUCUGAUAAUGGUGGAGAGUAUGUGAAUCAACAGUUUCGUGAUUAUUUCCAACACUAUGAACUAAUUCAUGAAAUCUCAUGCCCCUAGACUUUGCAACAAAAUGGUAUGGUAGAGCGCAAGAAUCGUCACAUCCUCGAAACUGCUUGAGCUCUGUUACUUGGAGCUCGUGUACCUAGCCACCAAUUGGCUGAUGCUAUUGAGUUCAAAAUUCCGUUACAGGCCUUGUCAAGAUAUGGGUCAUUACCCAUAGUAAUGAUUGUUCCACCUCGCGCAUUUGGUUGUGCUGCAUUUGUGACGCCCCCAAAAUAGGUCCACACAACCCAUUCUGAGUCGCCAAAUACGUGGUAUAGAAAUCAAAUACAACUUUAUUUAUACAACUAUUAAUUGUCGUGUAAAAUACGACAAAACAUACGCUGUGAGUUUUAAUACAAAUAUCGUCUCGUAGACAAUAUCCUAACUCAAAUAAAAUCCUCAUUUCAAUUAUAUAUUGUCACACUAUUUUACAAAAUAGUGAGGAUUACUAAAAUAACCAUCUUGGACCAUUUCUCCACUCCCCGACUAGUCUCAUCUAUAUUUUCGCCUCCUGAGAAGAACAAUGGAACCAAAAGGAAAAGGGUGUGAUCAAAUACCCAGUAAAGAAUACUAUGACUAAGAUAAUGUAGAACAAAUUAUCCUUAGUCCUCAACAAGGAAAAAUCUGAUAGAAUACAAUAGAAAACAAGUUUUAGAUCAAUAACUGCAGCGAAAAUAAUAAUAAAUUAGAAGAGUCAAGUAGAGCAUGAUGUCUACUAUCUUCUAUGAUUUAAAAGUUUAUCAUCAAUAUUUUAUCCAUGUAACACCAAUCAAUAAUUAUUUCUAAUUAACGAAUUAUCUAUGCACUACGAGCCAAAGAUAAUCGUUUGUAUCACCAGUGGUCAUACAUCUGUCCAUCUAUGCACUACGGGCCAAAGAGGACUUCCAUCACAAACUUUAUUUGUACCAUUAAAGGUUAUGAUUAUACCAAUACACAAUUCUUGAUCAUAAUCAUACCAAUCAACAGUCCAUCUUUGCACUACGGGUCAAAGAUGACUUUUACCACAAUAUAAGCAUGAGGAUGAUGACAAUGAUUUAAAGAAUCAAUCAAGUGAGAUCAAGGAUAAAUAUUAGAUAUUUAUAAUUCAAUUUAUCCAGAGUUCAAAAAUGUCCAAAUUGUUAACAUGAUAACUAAUUGUGGAGUAAAAUUCAAUAAUGAUAUUUAUGUAUCAAAAAUAAUUUGGACAGAAAAGAAAAUUAAAUUCUGUUGUGAACAGUACUCAUGAAUAAUACCGUAUGAAUAGUACUAUAUGAAUAGUACUCCGACAUGAAAAGAUUAAAAUUUAAUAAGAAAAAUCAGACCAAUAUUCCAGUGAAAUGAUAUUAGAUGAAGCGCAAAUCUUAAGGAAUUUUUAAUCAUUUCAGGAAUUAUAGAAGCAAUACUUACCAUAGUAAGUUUAAAUUUAGGAAUAUGAAAUGAAAUAAUAUCACUUGCAUAAUAUGGAGUAUGAAAGAAAAUGAUAUUUCUUACGAGUAUUGAAAUAAAAUAAUAUCCUUUACCUUAGUAUAAACUAGAUUUGACUGGAAUAUUGGAUAUUAUCCUGAGAAAAUCUUGCACUAAAAGCUACACUCAAAGUAUUCUUAUACUCAAAAGAAAUACUCAAAAUAUUACAAUAGGAAUGUUUACAAUAUUUGGUGUGUUUAGGAUGGAGGUUGCCUCUCCUUUUAUAGUGCAACCUCGGAGUAAAAAUCAAAUACAUUUGCCUAACUUUGCCAAACUUCCUUCUCCGCCUAACUUUCAUUCUCUGCCUAACCUCUCAUUUUCCAUGGUUGAGGGCCCUCUAAAUUUGGAAAAGAAUUUGCAGGAGGAAUAAUUCAAGUAAGCCUCCACUUUGAAAAAAUAUGUAGGAGAGAAUUCAAAAUAUGCACGGAAGGUUUUGAAAAGAAAUUCAAAACCAAAAUGAUAAUCUUCACUCCACUUUUAUUCACAUGCUGAAAAUUAUAUAUUAUAAUAAUAAUAUUACCAUUUAAAAAAAUUAUAUUAUUAUAUUAUCACAUUAUACUAUUAUAAAUUAAUAUUAUAAUAAUAUAUUUGAAUGAAUAUUUUAUCGAAGAAGAUAAUUGUGAUUCUAUACAAAAAUAUGUCAAACUUUCAACAAAUGUUUCAUGCUAAAUUCCUUCAUUUAUAUCAAAAUUGAACCAAUAUUCACCACAUAAUAAUUAUUCACAAUUAAUAUUAUAAGCUCACAAUAUUAAUAAUUAGAUCAUUCUCAAGAACGAGGGGACUUUCUGAUAAGGAUAUAUCCUUAUUGGCGCACAAUUAUAUAACCUAGCCCCUUUCCUCGACAGAAUUUUCUAAACAUUGUCAAUAAUGCUAACUAAUAAUAUGAAUAAUUGUGUCAUGUCAAUUAUUGGUUUAAUAAUAUAAAAUAUUGUACAGAUGAUACUGUGGCAAUAAUUGAAUCAAUAAUAUGAGAUACUACGCAACAAUUACUGUAACAAUUAUAUUGAAUGAAACUGAGUGACUUCUUACGUAAGAAUCAAUAAUCAAAGAUACUAUGCAAUACCGUGUGCUACUUUGCAACCACGCGUAUUACUGUACUUUUAUCACCGUGUAUUUCAACAGUUAACGGUAAAAGUUUUGUCGUUAUUUUUUAUAAAAAGGUUAUUUCUGUCGCUUUCUAUAUCCGAUAGUUAUUCCGUUAUGUGGUCCACAAAUGAUUGCGUCGUUGUACGGAUAUUUCAUGAUAAAAAGAAUAUUCCCUAGCAAAAUGAAUAUUUUAUGACAACUUACUUACUUUGCAAAAUUUGCACAUAUCACCCAUAAUUAUAACAUUAUAUCAAAUCAACACCUUAUUAUUCAAAAUAAUAUUUAAAGAAAAUUAAAUCUUUAUUCAUAAAAAGUUGGGGUCUUACAACCUCCCCUCUUUAUGAUAUUUUGUCCUCGAAAUUAAUGUACGUACCUGGUAUGUCGAAGAGGUGAGGAUACCUUAUUUUUAUUUCAGAUUCUAACUCCUAGGUCAUUUCCUCAAUAUCGUGGUUUCUCCAUAAAACUUUGACUUGAGGUAAUAUGUUCCUUCUUAUCCAAGAUCUUGACAGGUACCUCCUCAUACAUUAAGUCUUCCGCUAUCUCAUCUGGUUCUAAUUCAAUAAUGUGGUUUGGGUCUUCUACAUAUUUACAUAACGUAGAUAUGUGAAAAAUAUUAUGAAUACGAGACAUACUUGGCGGUAAGGCGAGUCUAUAAGCCAUAAUUCCUACUCGAUCGAGGAUUUUAAAUGGACCAAUGAAUCGAGGAUUGAGCUUUCCUCUCUUUCCAAAUCUUGUAACUCCUUUCCAUGGAGCAACACGUAACAUGAUCUCCAAUAUUGAAUUCCACGUCCCUUCGAUGAAGAUCAUCAUCUCUUUUGUCGAUCUUAUGAGGUUUGUAUACGUUGUCGGAUCAUUUGAAUCUUUUCCGUAGUCAUGUGUAACAUUUAUGGUCUCAACAACGUUGCUUCACCCACCUCGUCCCAGCAUAUUGAAGAAUGACACUUUCGUCCAUCCAAUGCCUCGAAUGGAGUCAUGCCUAUACUUGUUUGAUAACUAUUGUUGUAGGAGAAUUCCACAAAUGGCAAGUACUUUUCCCAAGUUCCUUUGAAGUCUAGUAUGUAGAGUCUCAAUCGAUCUUCAAGAGUUUUAAUAGUCCUUUCCGACUGCUCAUCCGUCUGAGGAUGAUAUGCAGAACUGAAUUGUAAAUUAGUGCUCAUAGCUUUCUACAAACUGACCCAAAAUCGUGAAGUGAAUCUUGGGUCUCGAUCAGAAAUUAUGGAUAUUGGCAUACCAUGCAAUCUCACAAUCUCAUCUAUGUACAUACGAGCAAGAUGUUCAAGUGAAUAAGUUUCUUGUAUAGGCAAAAAAUGAGCAAACUUGGUUAAUCUAUCGACAAUGACCCAAAUUGCAUCUAUUCCUUGAGAAACCUUGGGAAGACCAGUAACGAAAUCUAUGUUGAUGUGCUCCCACUUCCAUUCAAGAAUUUUGAGUGGUUGCAAUGGACCUUUUGGUACUUGAUGCUCCGCCUUGGCACGUUGACAAGUUAAACACCUUGAGAUAAACUCCGCGGUCUCUCUCUUCAUAUUGCUCCACCAAAAUGUAUGUCGAAGAUCACAAUACAUUUUGGUACUCCCAGGAUGGAUUGCAAACGGUGUGUUUUGUGCCUCCAUCAUGAUUUUAUACUUCAAUUCAGAGUCGUUAGGGACACAAAGUCUAGAGUUGACUCAAAGUAUUCCUUCCUCGUCGAUCUUUGCUUCUAGAAUAGCACCUUCUUGAACUUUUUUCUUCAUACGCAUCAGCUCCGAGUCUGUAGCUUGAGCAGUUUUAACUUUAUUGAUUAAAGUCGAUUUUACCCGUAUAUUUGACAUCAUCACGUGGGUCCCUGGAGUUUUCAACUCUAUCUCCAUCCUUUGUAAGUCAUACAAAAUGGGUCUUUGCGUUAAAAAUAUCGCACUUGUACCCGCAUAUGAUAUUCUACUCAACGCAUCAACUACCACAUUCGCUUUUCAAGGAUGGUAUUGAAUGGUAUGAUCAUAAUCUAUUAACAGCCUCACUGUCUCAAUCGUAGAGUCCCUACGAUCAAUGUAACGCCCCCAAAAUCGGGACUAUUUUUCUUCCCGAUCUUGUGCGUUAAUAUUAUCUUGUUCUAGCUUUAAAACAUUAUUUAAUGUUAAAAUAGCUAAAAUUAUGGAAUAAAUUUUUUUUUCUUUCCAUUCAUUCAUUCCCUGAAUCGCAACCUUUACAAUUCUUCUUUAUACUAGAAUCAUAUUUAUUUUAUGAUUUAUUUUAUCAAAGUAACAUAUGAAUUUAUAUACAACUCACCUCUCUUCAAACAAAUAUUCCUUAUUCAACAAAUAUUUCAAACUGUUCAUAGUUGUCUUUAAGUCAUAUCUAGAAUCAUGAGAAUCCUCAUCUAUAUUUCUCUACGAUUUCUAAAUAAAGAAGAGAUAUCCUUUGUACGUCUUCCAAUCGUUAUCAUCUGGUCAGCUAUAGAUCAUAUCACAUUUCAAACAUGCAAAAAUAUAAUUUUUGCAACUCUAUCAUAUCUUGAAUCUAUAUCAUGAUUCAACUUGUAUAUCACAAUUAAUAUCAAUAUAGAUAUAAAAAUUUAGUUAUUAAAAUUUUCUUAGUUCCAGAAUUCGCAGCUGUUAUAAUCUAUACUCAUAUUCAGGAUUAUAUAAAUAUAAAGACCCAUUCCGAAAAGUCUCAUUUAAACAUAAGGUUCAAACUUUUAACUUUACUCAUCGCCGGAAUCUUUAAAACAUAAUUCAUCAACUGUAUAUUCACUAUACCCCACUUCAUGUGCUUCUAUGCUAUUAUAGUUACUUUACAAAAUAAUAGUAAAGCUACAUCUCGUAUUCAAAAAGAUUAUUUCUAUUCAACAUAAUUACUGGGUAUAACAACAUUUACACUACUCAAUUAAAUCACUUUACAGCAAGUAGCCUCAGCUCGGUACAGUCUAAACUUGAUGAAGCAAUACAUCUUUAAUACUCAUGUCUCAUCACAAAUCUUCGUUGUUAUGACCAUCUGAUAAAUCAACAUUUAUCUGCAUAAUUGUUUGCAAGAUUGAGCACUACGACCCAACAAGUCUAACAGUUUUCAUGCUUCACACAGCACAUAAUAUCAUGCUUAUAUCAUAUCUCAAGAUUAUUAUAAUUUAAGUAACAUUUGUAUUUCACACAUAUUAAAUAUCAAAUCAAGACUGAGUUUUAAAAACUCAAUCAAAUUUAGUCAAUAGUUGACUUUCAUCAUUCCACAAGUAUAACAUGUAAUCCAUGUAAUCAUGUCAAAUUCAUAUAACAAAUAGGAACAGGAAAACUUGACUUUUUGAUGCGAAGCUAUUAAUUUUACGCGAUUACACGUAUUCGAGGUAUUAUGCUCCUGUAUAGCACCAAUAUACACAUAAUGUUAUUACAAUGUUACAUUACCAUAUUCUACAAAUUCUAUUUAAAUUUGUGUUUUGCAAGUCUAAUAUCUCAUUCUUAACUUCUCUUAUUUUAAUAAGUUUGCUACAUAUGUAUGUGGUAUAAAUCUUAUUAGCUUUUACUAGGUUAAUAAACCAACCCACUUAUUUUUCAAAUACUUCAUCCAUGCUUAAAUGUGAAUUUUUUUAUUGGUACCUCAUUGAAUACAAAGAUAGGAAAAAAUAAAUACACCUUCGAUUAAACAAGGCUAGCUUUUCCUUGUAUAAUCAAAAUAUAACACAUUAGUUACAACAUGCCUCCUCACUUCAUUUGAGACUAACUAUAUUAACUUAAAAAUCUUUCAGUUUGUACAACUAAUUAUAAUCGAACCCCACACUUUUCAACUUUAUACUUUUAUAAUCUUAAGUUCUUAAGAUUUUACAAUGUUUUAGAUUAAUUAACUAAUCCUUAAUCCGUUUCUGAAUUUAUUUCAUCAUGUCGUUGCUAUUUUGCAUUAUUAAUGUCGUGCAUAUUACUUUAUGUAUUAAAGCUUAUUGCUUAACAUGAAACACAUUCCAUAAUUUCAACUCAACUCGAACAUAUUAAGAUUAACAACUGAAUUCUAAUUUAUCAACCAUAUUGGGUUCAAUUAAUGGUCCAAUUAUAAAUUAAUUAUAUAUUAUUAUAUAUCUUAACUCUUUUAAUGCUCAACAACACCCACAAUCAAAAUCAAAACGCAAGGCGAAACGCUGCCCGACAGCUGGUUGCCAGGCGUCUACCCAUGUGUUGCACGCUGCUAGGCCAACUACCUGGUGCAGCUGCUGCCCUGCCCCCAACUCCGCCUUAUCAUAAUGGUUACUUUGUGAUUUUAAAACUUUAAAUCUACAUUUUCAUUAACCUUCAAACUUGGGCAGCAUUAAGAUUGUAUAACUCUUCUAAUUUGGGCAUCCUAGACAGGUUAAACAGAGGGCUAAAACUGCCUUGUCAAAACAGUUUUCAAUUUUUUUUCCCAACUGUACCCUCUCUUGCUCAAACAGCCAUAACUUUUUAGUUUCAAAACAUUUUUGAGCGAUUCUUGAGCCCACGCGAAGCUAACUUCCGGGACUACAACUCCUAUUUAAUAACCUUUUCCAAAUUUUGCACCCAUAAUUCCAGAAAAUUCUUGUAAGGGGCUGCUUCGAAUCUGUUUUCCAGAUUUGGGCAGUUUCGACGCACCCACUUUGGCACAUCUUAACUCAGUUGUCCGAACUCAGAAUUAGUCCGUUCCAAAGGUUAUGGCUAUCUGGGAUUGCACACUACUAGACCCCAGAAACUUAAAAUUUCCCAGAAAAUAUAACUAUCCGAAACAGUUAGCCAAAUGUAGUCCAACACACUAACUUUUAAAAUUUUCGUUUUGGCUUAAAAUUGCUUUUCGUUCUAAUUCGAUUUACCCAAACUCUUUAAUUAUUUAUAUAUAACAUAUAUGCAUAUAUCUUGAGUCUUAGCUCUUCCUAAUUAGGAGUUUUUAGGCAAAAUGGCCCUUUUAGGACUUUAAUCGAACACGUCGUGUGCGACUCUAUAAUGGGUUGAGAUCAUGUGGUUUUGUUUUUGUUUCAUUCCCAUUUCGUCAUCCUUAUAACUCCGCACAACAAUUACUAAACUCCAUGGUUCUAAUAUCAAUCCACUACAACCAAUACACAAAGAAAACUAUACAUACUAUCUAUUUCAUAAAUUAGUUUACUAACUUUGAAACUUUGAACAAAUUUCAUUCCUUUAGUUUCUAAAACAUACCUUAUAUUAUAAACUUCAUUGAGCUUAGUUACCAAUUGAUUUCGUAGCCCAUUCACAUACAAAUUAACUAUUUAACUAAUUAUCUACAUAUACUAACUAACUGAUUCAAUUUAUCAUGAAUUUCAUAAAAAAAACAUAAUACAUACUAAUAUAUACCUUUCUUGCUUAGUUAUGGUUUCACUAUCUUUUAUGCUUUAUUCCAGCUGCCCAAUCAAUUCUUGAAGAUUCUAUUUUCGUUUUAGCCGAACAGAGUGGGAUGGAAUUACGCACGGAUGGACUGAGGAUUGAAAGGGAAAGUGGCGGGUGGAGUUUGGCCAGGAAAGAGUAGAAAAUUUUAGUUUGGUUUUGAAUUUAUAGCAACCCUUUCCUUGUUCCCCAAAAAUUUUGCUUGACAUUACGUAUAAGGAUUUUUGAAUUUUAAGCGCCAACUCCUACUUAAUAAAGUUUUUGUUUAACACAGCUCAUGUUUUAUCUCUUACUGACUCAGCUGCUUGUUUUAUUUUCCCCGACUCUUAUAUUAUUUCCUCUUUUUUCUCUCUAAACUUAGCCAAUUUGGCUUAAAAAUAAAUAUAAGUAAAUUUUAAUUUUGCUUAUAUAAAAACUACUUUCAAUUUUUAUAAGUUGGCCAACUUAAGUCUUCUCUAGUCUUCCCCCUAGUCUUUUAAAGCUUGCAAAUCACCCUUGAUAUAUUCUUAGCAUAUUCUCAGAAUAUUCUUUAUUCCUUAACAUAUUCCUUAAAAUAUUUUCUUAAGUUUCAAAUUUUAAGUUUUUAACCCUAAGGUAUUCUUAACUCGCACAAUUCCCCCUUAACUUUUAUAAUUCACUUCCAUACUUUAUUAAGUUAUUUAAUUACCCAAUCUUAGUAACUUAAUUUAAUUAAAUAAGUUACUACAUAAAUUUCCUUAAUUUAUUUUACUCUCUCGGAAUUAUAUAAUUUACAUAACCCAUCUUUGAUAUAUAAAUUAUAUAAAAUAUAACAUAACAUAUUCAAAUUAAAUAUUUAUUUUAUAAAUGUAAAAUAAAUAUGCUACACAUAAUUUCUUAUGUAAAUAGAAUUAUUAACAUACCCAAGAUAUUAUAAUAUAAUAUCCUUACUUCAUUAUCAUAAAUUCAAUUAAGAAUUUAUUUAUUUUCUUAAGAUAUUAAGCUAAAUAUAAUAUCUUUUCUUUAUUAAAUUAAUUUUAUAUAUGAAUUUAUUCUAAUAGUCUUGGGUAAAGUAUAUAUAAAUAUUAUAUGCUUAACCCGUCUCUUUUUGCCUCAUUACUCAAAUUGUUCCCAAUAAUUUUAUUUCUCUGUGUAAUAUAUAUAUAUAUAUAUAUAUAUAUAUAUAUAUAUAUUAACUUGCAAAUAUUCUUUAUAAUGCACAUGUACUCACAUCACAUAUAGAAAAUAAAUAAUAAAUUUAUUCUCUCACCUUAUAAAUUGUUUAUAUCAAUUUAUUUAUAUAUAGUAAGUAUAACUUAAUAUAUUUACCUUAUAAAUGGAAAUUUAUUCAGUAAAUAAGAUAUUAUAAUUAAAAUAAUAUCUUUUCUUUAUUAAAAUAAUUCAACUCUAGAAUUUAUUUUAAUAUCAUUUAUUUAAAGUAUACAAUAAUUCUUGUAUAUUAAUUACUUUGUUUUCCCUUCUAUAAAUUGUUUUCAACAAUUUAACUAUAAUAAAUAUAAUAAUAUAAUUACUACAUUAAAACAUACAUACCUUACGUCCAAUAAUGUAAUACAUGAUUUCUUCAAUAAAAGGGUGGUUAUACAUUAAGUAUAUAUUUAAUGCCACCAAUUCACCACAUUAAAAUAAUUUAAUAUUAUAGAUUAUUUUAAUUCUACCCAUCUCAUUUCCUUUAAUAAAUUGCCCUUACAAUUUAUUUACAUAUAAUAAAUAUAUAAUACCAAUAUAUUUAUUAAGCAUAAACAUCACAUAUUGCAUAGUUCAUACCCACUUAUGCAAUAUAAUAUCAUACAACAUAUUAUCUAAUAAGAAUUUUAUUUAUUUAAUUCUUAUUUUAAUAUUACCCAAAAAUUUGGGUUAUCACAUUUUUCCCCCUUAUAAGGAUUCCGUCCCCGAAAUCAUAAUACCGAAUCCUUCUUAAUCGGUUUAGAUCAUAUUCUUUCUCGUCACAUUAUCGUUGAAUCAUUUCAACGUACCAUUUCCUUAGAUUUUUUCAAAAUUUAAAAUAAAUCAUCUAUUUUCACUCUAGGUUUUAAACUUUAACCUUUCAUUUAAUCAUUCAAGAUUUUUCUAAAUUUUUGGGUUGUCGCAUUCACCCUUUCUUCUAAGAAUUUUGUUCCUGAAAUUAUAGUCUACUAAUCUUUGCUUCUUCUAUUCACCGAAAAUAGGUUUUCAAUUUAACCUUUACAUUUUCCUCCUCUGAGGAUUUCUCAUCUAUCAUCUCAUUCAACCAUUUCUACCCGUUUGAAGAAGUUAAAAACUUUUCAUAUUAUGCUGAGGGGUCAUAUAGACCAUGAACUCUCAAGUUUAACGGUAUUCACCGCAAUCAAUUAUGUAAACAUGUUGUACUAGGUGAUCAACCUAGUACAGAUACGAGUACGUUAGGUGAUCAGCCUAUUGUACCCUACGUCCUGCACAACAUAUCAAUCUUAUUUAACGACUAUUUGCGCUACUAGAUUGGAUUAUUUUAUCCAAUCGGGAUUGUUCACCUCAGACUUAGCAUAAGAUUCCGUACCAAAACAAUUUGGUUCGGGAUAAAUUCUCAAAGAAUACUUGAAUUUUCAUAAACAAUUUCGUAGCUGAAUCAAAUAGCUUAGACGCAUAUCAAUAAUUCGAACAUCAAUCGAAACAUUUGUCUAGCCACUAUAAUUGACAUUGACUUUUCUUUAACUAGUCUAAAAUUCUGAAAAUCAUUUUAUGAUGUCAUGAUACCGCACUGUAUUUACAGUUCGUUUGAGAAUUCCGUCAUUUGUUGAUUUUAUCAUACUACAUCAUACCAUAGUGGGCUGACGAUCCUUAGAUCACAUCCAACACUAAGUAAUACUGCAUUGUUGACUCCAUCGUUUUUAUCAUCUCUGCACUAGGUUCCAUGAUGCAUUGAUGAUAUAUAAAAUAUAUUUUGAUAUAUUUCAAAUCAUUUUUGUCUAGCCAAAGCAAUUAGCAUAGACUCUUCUUUAAUGGUUCAAAACCAUUGAAAAUCAAUUUUAGUGUUAUCAUGUCGUAACAGAUAAUGAGAUGUUAGUGGUUCACAGUCCACAUACACACCUUUGUCACCGUAUGUUAUUGAUAACAAAAUUUAUUUUUAAAGGCACCAUAGUGCGAAUUUAGCUUGAUGUCAAAAAUUUUGAAGUCUAGCAUAGCUAGAAGAUUUGGAAUACAUAUGCUUCCACCAUCAACUUCAAUUUCUCUAAUGAUCCAUUGCUUAAUAAGUCUAUCUAUUCUUAUCAUCCUCAAUACUCCAUUCAUACUUAGUUAUACCCCAGUUCAUCAAACUUACUACACUUUGAAAAUCCAGGAACUUGCCAUAAUCAUAUGAGUUUAGAAACUUAUCCUAGUCAGACCAUAGGCGUCCAUUCGUUGAGGGGUUCAAAACAUAUCAUAUGAUUAUGAGUCACGAACUUACCAUAUGCAUUAGUUUUAAGAACCGUACCUAAUCUUAAUAUCAUCUAACCUAAUCUUGUUUUCUCUACCUAUCCGUUAUACACAUGAGAAAAGAAUCACCUUCUCAACAAGUAUAUAGUAAAUAGCGCGACACAAACAUUUCAAUGAUUAUCACUGCCAGAAGCUAAGUGGUUGUUACACCAAGUACAAUUCCCCGCCCAUACAAAGAAUCAUACAACUUAGCUGCUGACACAAGUUCUCAAUUGAAAUCCCACCGAAUUCUAGCUUCCCCUUACUCAAUACAAAUUUUAUUUAAUCCGUAUCUCAUUAUCUACAACUCUUUUCUGAGUUUGCAUAGUACCAUUUCAUAGUACAUUCUCUUUAUAGUGUCAUGCUAUAUCAUUCCAAUCAUUUCAUAGAUUUUUUGCUAUUCAAUCUGAUCACGCCGUGAUCUUAUCUUAUAAUCGUGUUAUAUUACGGUUCUCUUAUAUCUUAUGAUCGUUUUGUUUUACGAUCUCCUUUCCCUUUAUACUUUUAGUCUCAUAGACUCUAUCUAUUCAUUAUUACUUUUUGUCUUUAACAUCAGAGUUAGGUAACUCUAGAUCUUUAUAACUUUUUAAGAUUCUUCUUUGAAUCUUAUUUACUAAAUAAUGAAUUUUCCAAAUUCAUCUCUUAACAAAUUAAACCCUAUUUGAGUUUAUUCCUUAUCCUUAUCACUAUGGUUAUAGCCUAAGGUACACCUACCUAAGGUUUAUAACUUACAACUUUGAUACCAACUGUAACGCCCCCAAAAUCGGGACUAUUUUUUUCUCGAUCUUGUGCGUUAAUAUUAUCUUGUUCUAGCUUUAAAACAUUAUUUAAUGUUAAAAUAGCUAAAAAUAUGGAAUAAUUUUUUUUUUCUUUCCAUUCAUUCAUUCCCUGAAUCGCAACCUUUACAAUUCUUCUUUAUAAUAGAAUCAUAUUUAUUUUAUGAUUUAUUUUAUCAAAGUAACAUAUGAAUAUAUACAACUCACCUCUCUUCAAACAAAUAUUCCUUAUUCAAUAAACAUUUCAAACUGUACAUAGUUGUCUUUUAGUCAUAUCUAGAAUCAUGAGAAUCUUCAUCUAUAUUUCUCUACAAUUUCUAAAUAAAGAAGAGAUACCCUUUGUACGUCUUCCAAUCGUUAUCAUCUGGUCAGCUAUAGAUCAUAUCACAUUUCAAACAUGCAAAAAUAUAAUUUUUGCAACUCUAUCAUAUCUUGAAUCUAUAUCAUGAUUCAACUUGUAUAUCACAGUCAAUAUCAAUAUAGAUAUACAAAUUUAGUUAUUAAAAUUUUCUUAGUUCCAGAAUUCGCAGCUGUUAUAAUCUAUACUCAUAUUCAGGAUUAUAUAAAUAUAAAGACCCAUUCCGAAAAGUCUCAUUUGAACAUAAGGUUCAAACUUUUAACUUUACUCAUCCCGGAAUCUUUAAAACAUAAUUCAUCAACUGUAUAUUCGCUAUACCCCACUUCAUGCACUUCUAUGCUAUUAUAGUUACUUUACAAAAUAAUAGUAAAGCUACAUCUCGUAUUCAAAAAGAUUAUUUCUAUUCAGCAUAAUUACUGGGUAUAACAACAUUUACACUACUCAAUUAAAUCACUUUACAACAAGUAGCCUUAGCUCAGUACAGUCUAAACUUGAUGAAGCAAUACAUCUUUAAUACUCAUGUCUCAUCACAAAUCUUCGUUGUUAGGACCAUCUGAUAAAUCAACAUUUAUCUGCAAAAUUGUUUGCAAGAUUGAGCACUACGGCCCAACAAGUCUAACAGUUUUCAUGCUUCACAUAGCACAUAAUAUCAUGCUUAUAUCAUAUCUCAAGAUUAUUAAAAUUUAAGUAACAUUUGUAUUUCACACAUGUUGACAUUGUCAUAUUUCAUCCUUAUGUUUUGAUGAUGAAAUGUUUAAAUACUAAAUUGUUUUAUGAUGUUUCAGGUAUUUGUUGAUAAAACAACAUUGACGGAAUUUUCAAUUAGACGAAGAACUUUUUCUUUCUAGGAAAACAAAUGUAAGAUCAAUUGCAUAAUAAUUGAUUUUUCAUUUAAAGGCUAUAGGACAUAUUAUUUGCGUUAUAUUUUGUUAUAUGUCUUAAAUGAAAAAUGAUUUAAAAAGAAUUCUUAUGAAAAAGGUUUUUCUAAAAAUAAUAUAUCACUUAAAAUAUUAGCUUGUAUGUCUAAUAGAUUACAUAAGUGAUAUAUGGGUGAUUAAUUGAAAUGCUACACGUGGAUAUCUAGAGGUUGUCAGCUAUACUUUAUGAUUUGUUGCACGUGCAUAUCCGGUUGUGAUAUGAGUACUUCAUGCUUGCUAACCAUUUAUUGUGAUAAGAUGUUUGUGAGAGUUUCAAGGAGAAAUAAUUAUGGGUAUCUUGGAUUUUUAAAAGACCUUGAUUCUUGAAAAAGAUAUGGAAUGGUUCACUCCACUAUUUCACACGUCACAUACCACUUUAUGAGAUAAAGUCAAAGAUUGUUUUUAAGUGGGUUACUUGAAUAGGCUUUGGAAAUCAUAUAUAGAGUAUUACUUGUGGUGGCAGGAGUUAUGAUGACAAAGACAUAAAUGCAAGAACUCUAUUUCAGAUAAUCAGUCAAACAUAUAUCUGUUAUAUAAGAGUUAUUUUCGGAUCUAUUUCAAACUGAUUAUUUUUUAUCCGAGUAAAAAGCUUUUAACGAAAAUAAUUCUGGAACAUCACUUAUCUUAAAUUCUGUUGGCAACGUAAAUAAAUUUACAACGGAUCUUUGCAUACAACAGAAAUAUUUUUAGCUAUAAAAGAAGUACUGAGAUCAGUGUUUGGUACACAACUCACGAAAAUAUUUCUUUCACUUAUUACUGUUAUUAUCGAGCAAAUUGAUUUUGUCAAUGCAAUCUUUGAGAAGCUAAGCAAUUAAAUUUCUGAUAUUAUUUGAGCUGGUAUUUGGUAAGAAAUUAAUUGUUUAUUUAUUUUGUGCUAAUUGAUCAUUGCAUAUAGUUGAGCCUUUAAUUGUUAAAUUGAUUAUUUUUGUAUUGAUCAUAGACCUCUAUAUUUGUAUUGGAUUUUUAUUUAGACUAAGUGUAGUCUAAAGGUGUUAAUCCUAGUGGAUUAGAGAAAAGGGUUACAAACAGGUUCAAGGAAGCAAAGGUGCUUGAAGAGUGCAUAGGUGCAUAAGGAGCAAGAGAGCUCAAGAGAAAAUUAAGUGUUAAUUAAUUUUUGUUAGAAUCUGUUUUGUAAUCUGUAUUUAUUUAUAAAGAAAUAAAUAAAGUGAGUCUCCAAUACUAGUUGGUAUUGGGCGUGGACUAGAUUAUUAUUAUAGAGGGUAAUAGCUGAACCACGUAAAAAAUCUUGGUAUUGAUUUUAUUAUUUGCUUUACUUUAAAAUCACAUAAGCUAUUUUAAUUAUCUUAAUAAUUAAAAUUUGAAUACUUAUAUUAUAUUAAGAUAUCUCUUUAACAUAAAGUAUUUUACUUAAGAUAUAAAUUCAGUAGGAUAUUUUCUUUAAUAUGCUAUAUUAAUUCAGUAAGCUGAUUUCAAUCAUUAUAGUAGCCUGAAGUUAAUAAUUUAAUUUAAAGUUUAAAAGUUGGUCAUAGAUUGCUCCCACACUUAUUCAACCCCCCCUUCUAAGUGUGCCUAGAUAAAUUUCAACACAUAUCAAAUAUCAAAUCAAGACUGAAUUUUAAAACUCAAUCAAAUUUAGUCAAUAGUUGACUUUCAUCAUUUCACAAGUAUAACAUGUAAUCCAUGUAAUCAUGUCAAAUUCAUAUAACAAAUAGGAGCUGGAAAACUUACCUCUUUGAUGCGAAGCUAUUAAUUUUACGCGAUUACACGUAUUCGAGGUAUUAUGCUCCUGUAUAGCACCAAUAUACACAUAAUGUUAUUACAAUGUAUAACAUUACCAUAUUCUACAAAUUCUAUUUAAAUUUGUGUUUUGCAAGUCUAAUAUCUCAUUCUUAACUUCUCUUAUUUUAAUAAGUUUGCUACAUAUGUAUGUGGUAUAAAUCUUAUUAGCUUUUACUAGGUUAAUAAACCAACCCACUUAUUUUUCGAAUACCUCAUCCAUGCUUAAAUGUGAAUUUUUUUUAUUGGUACCUCGUUGAAUACAAAGAUAGACAAAAAUAAAUACACCUUCGAUUAAACAAGGCUAGCUUUUCCUUGUAUAAUCAAAAUAUAAAACAUAAGUUACAACAUGCCUCCUCACUUCAUUUGAGACUAACUAUAUUAACUUAUAAAUCUUUUAGUUUGUACAGCUAAUUAUAAUCGAACCCUACACUUUUCAACUUUAUACUUUUAUAAUCUUAAGUUCUUAAGAUUUUACCAUGUUUUAGAUUAGUUAACUAAUCCUUAAUCCGUUUCUGAAUUUAUUUCAUCAUGUCGUUGCUAUUUUGCAUUAUUAAUGUCGUGCAUAUUACUUUAUGUAUUAAAGCUUAUUGCUUAACAUGAAACACGUUCCAUAAUUUCAACUUAACUCGAACAUAUUAAGAUUAACAACUGAAUUCUAAUUUAUCAACCAUAUUGGGUUCAAUUAAUGGUUAAAUUAUAAAUUAAUUAUAUAUUAUUAUAUAUCUUAACUCUUUUAAUGCUCAACACCCACAAUCGAAAUCAAAACGCAAGGCGAAACGCUGCUCGACAGCUGGUUGCCAGGCGUCUGCCCAUGCGUUGCACGCUUCUGGGCCAACUACCUGGUGCAGCUGCUGCCCUGCCCCCAGCUCCGCCUUAUUAUAAUGGUUACUUUGUGAUUUUAAAACUAUAAAUCUACAUUUUCAUUAACCUUCGAACUUGGGCAGCAUUAAGAUUGUAUUUCAUAGUAUUUUAGAAAAAUAUAACUCUUCUAAUUUGGGCAUCCUAGACAGGUUAAACAGAGGGCUAAAACUGCCUUGUCGAAACAGUUUUCAAUUUUUUUUUCCAACUGUACCCUCUCUUGCUCAAACAGCCAUAACCUUUUCGUUUCAAAACAUUUUUGAGCUAUUCUUGAGCCCACACGAAGCUAACUUCCGGGACUACAACUCCUAUUUAAUAACCUUUUCCAAAUCCUGCACCCAUAAUUCCAGAAAAUUCUUGUAAGGGGCUGCUUUGAAUCUGUUUUCCAGAUUUGGGCAGUUUCAACGCACCCACUUUGGCACGUCUUAACUCAGUCGUCCGAACUCAGAAUUAGUCCAUUCCAAAGGCUAUGGCUAGCUGGGAUUGCACACUACUAGACCCCUGAAACUUAAAAUUUUCCAAAAAAUAUAACUAUCCAAAACAGUUAGCCAAAAGUAGUCUGACACUAACUUUUAAAAUUUUCAUUUUGGCUUAAAAUUGCUUUUCGUUCUAAUUCGAUUUACCCAAACUCUUUAAUUAUUUAUAUAUAACAUAUAUGCAUAUAUCUUGACUCUUAGCUUUGCCUAAUUAGGAGUUUUUAGGCAAAAUGGCCCUUUUAGGACUUUAAUCGAACAUGUCGUGUGCGACUAUAAUGGGCUGAGAUCAUGUGGUUUUGUUUUUGUUUCAUUCCCAUUUUGCCAUCCUUAUAACUCCGCACAACAAUUACUAAAAUCCAUGGUUCUAAUAUCAAUCCACUACAACCAAUACACAAAGAAAACUAUACAUAUUAUCUAUUUCAUAAAUUAGUUUACUAACUUUGAAACUUUGAACAAAUUUCAUUCCUUUAGUUUCUAAAACAUACCUUAUAUUAUAAACUUCAUUGAGCUUAGUUACCAAUUGAUUUCGUAGCCCAUUAACAUACAAAUUAACUAAUUAACUAAUUAUCUACAUAUACUAACUAACUGAUUCAAUUUAUCAUGAAUUUCAUAAAAAAAAACAUAAUACAUACUAAUAUAUACCUUUCUUGCUUAGUUAUGGUUUCACUAUCUUUUAUGCUUUAUUCCAGCUGCCCAAUCAAUUCUUGAAGAUUCUAUUUUCGUUUUAGCCGAACAGAGUGGGAUGGAAUUACGCAUGGAUGGACUGAGGAUUGAGAGGGAAAGUGGCGGGUGGAGCUUGGCCAGGAAAGAGUAAAAAAUUUUAAUUUGGUUUUGAAUUUAUAGCAACCCUUUCCUUGUUCCCCAAAAAUUUUGCUGGGCCAUUACGUAUAAGAAUUUUUGAAUUUUAAGCCUAUACUUCCUUCUUCAUGCCAACUCCUACUUAAUAAAGUUUCUGUUUAACACAGCUCAUGUUUUA